rnacentral:rRNA from 1 species
AAUCAACGCUGGCGGCGUGCCUCAGACAUGCAAGUCGAACGAUUAAGACUCCCUUCGGGGAGUGCAUAAAGUGGCGCACGGGUGAGUAACACGUAAGUAAUCUACCUUUGAGUGGGGAAUAACAACCGGAAACGGUUGCUAAUACCGCAUAAUGCAGCGGCACCGCAAGGUGACAGUUGUUAAAGGAGCAAUCCGCUUGAAGAGGAGCUUGCGGCAGAUUAGCUAGUUGGUAAGGUAACGGCUUACCAAGGCUACGAUCUGUAUCCGGUCUAAGAGGACGGUCGGACACACUGACACUGAAUAACGGGUCAGACUCCUACGGGAGGCAGCAGUCGGGGAUUUUGGGCAAUGGGCGAAAGCCUGACCCAGCAACGCCGCGUGAAGGAUGAAGUAUUUCGGUAUGUAAACUUCGAAAGAAUGGGAAGAAUAAAUGACGGUACCAUUUAUAAGGUCCGGCUAACUACGUGCCAGCAGCCGCCGUAACAC